rnacentral:lncRNA from 1 species
GCCUGCUGGUCAUUGGAUGGCUUCAUUGGCGUCGUGGGGCACACAGCCGCCGGCGUCGCUGCUUCUGUUGCAAAUUCCCCCAUCGAGGAUGUGUGCCGUGGUGUGAUUUGGGCUGCCUGCAUCAUGGCCGGGUUGGGGAUGAGGAAGACCAGGACGGCCUCUAGUGCAUGCGACGACGUUUGCUGUGUCGGCUUCUCCAACUGAUCCGCUACUGUAGGCCCCGCUAUCACCUCCCGGGGUACGUCACUGGGCGAAAGUAGCCCCAGGGCCCGCAGCGUUGCAAGGCUGGUAGGUCCCGGCUGGCGGGGGAGGGAGGUGUCGCCGUCUAGGCGG